UACGGGGGGGGGCAAGCGUUGUUCGGAAUUACUGGGCGUAAAGGGCUCGUAGGCGGCCAACUAAGUCAGACGUGAAAUCCCUCGGCUUAACCGGGGAACUGCGUCUGAUACUGGAUGGCUUGAGUUUGGGAGAGGGAUGCGGAAUUCCAGGUGUAGCGGUGAAAUGCGUAGAUAUCUGGAGGAACACCGGUGGCGAAGGCGGCAUCCUGGGACCAACACUGACGCUGAUGAGCGAAAGCCAGGGGAGCAAACGGGG
rnacentral:rRNA from 1 species